rnacentral:rRNA from 1 species
GACGAACGCUGGCGGCGUGCCUAAUACAUGCAAGUUGAGCGAUGAAGAUUGGUGCUUGCACCAAUUUGAAGAGCAGCGAACGGGUGAGUAACGCGUGGGGAAUCUGCCUUUGAGCGGGGGACAACAUUUGGAAACGAAUGCUAAUACCGCAUAACAACUUUAAACAUAAGUUUUAAGUUUGAAAGAUGCAAUUGCAUCACUCAAAGAUGAUCCCGCGUUGUAUUAGCUAGUUGGUGAGGUAAAGGCUCACCAAGGCGAUGAUACAUAGCCGACCUGAGAGGGUGAUCGGCCACAUUGGGACUGAGACACGGCCCAAACGCCUACGGGAGGCAGCAGUAGGGAAUCUUCGGCAAUGGACGAAAGUCUGACCGAGCAACGCCGCGUGAGUGAAGAAGGUUUUCGGAACGUAAAACUCUGUUGGUAGAGAAGAACGUUGGUGAGAGUGGAAAGCUCAUCAAGUGACGGUAACUACCCAGAAAGGGACGGCUAACUACGUG